AAACGAGAAGUGAAUGUGAAGGGGAGGAGGACGAAAUAAGCAAACGAAAAGAUGGAGUCAAAGGCAGCAGGAAGAUGAUAAAUAGGAAGAUGAGGAGAAAAAAUAUCAAAAGCAGAUAUGAAUACAGGAGAAUAAAAAGAUGCAACGAAAAAGGAAGGAAACGGAGGGCUGAAAAUGAACAGAUGGAAUAGGUCACAUUCGGGAAGAACAUGACGGGACGGGCAAAAAAUAAGCGCCAAGGUGGUAGUGGUGGUGGUGGUAUGAGAGGAAGUACGUCAGUGUGAGGGCCGUGGCCUGUGGAGGGUCGGCAUCUCCCUGGCCUGGCCCUGGCACUGCCCUACCGUCUGUCACACUGCCUUGACGGCCAGCACAGCGCAGAGCGGAGAGGCCCUGCACGGGGAGUGGCGUGGUGCAGUGGCAGUGGUGGAGGAGGAGGAGGAGGUAGUGGUGGUGGUGGUGAUGGUAGUAUGGUGGUGGUGCUAUGUACCCUUCAUGUUGCCUCUCUUUCUAUCAUCUAUCGAUAUUUUCAUGCUGACUGCUCUUCUGAACUUGUUAACUGCAUGCCUCCCCCCCUCCCGUGGCCCCGCUGCACACGACUUUCUAUUCAUGCUCAUCCCUAUACUGUCUAAACCCGCAAGAGUCAACCAGCAUCUUCAUUCUUUCAUCCCUCACGCUGGUAAACUCUGGAACGAUCUUCUUUCAUCUGUAUUUCCUCCUGCCUAUGACUUGAACUCUUUCGAGAGGAGGGUAUCAGGACACCUCUCCUCCCGAAAUUGACCUCUCUUUUUGGCCACUCCUUUGACUUCUAUUCAGGAGCAGUAAGUAGCGGGUUAUUUUUUUAAUAUUUUUCUUUACGCCCUUGAACUGUCUCCUUUGCUGUAUAAAAAAGAAAAAAAAAAGAAAACUGGGGAGGGAGUUGGAACUGGAUGCAUAACAGAUAAGAUAAAAAUGGACCCUUGGCUUUAAUAUAUUCGCGUCCGGUGAGAGAGAGAGAGAGAGAGAGAGAGAGAGAGAGAGAGAGAGAGAGAUUAGCGAGCAGUCAGACAUACGAAGAGAGAAGCAGGCGAACAAGGGCCUGGCCAACCCGGGUAGGCAGCAGACCCUUCGUCCCUCGUGGUGCCUCCUUUAAUAUAUUUAACGGCUCCCCUUUUUAAGCCGUUUAUCUCCUAAUACGAAUAACAACAACUAAUGUACGUAUUGGGAGUUUCCAGGAAACAAAACAGGAAACACUUAUGUCUCGUCACUCACAACGAACAUCCUGCCGCUCAGUGAUGACUCACAAUAGGACGCACUAACAUUCACACACGUAAUCCCAUCCACUUCAGACGCCUCUAUCCAGCAGUCCUUCGCCUCCUCUGCAAGACAGCACUUCAAAGCCACCAUGCGCUGGCCAUUCCUGUUGUUCACUCUCGCCCUCGUGCAGCUGGCCUUCACACUGGGGACAACAGUAUCUCGGGAUGACUUUUUACGUACUCCCAAGGGUGUAUCAAAGACUGCAGCCCUGACCCACAGCAUGCCCUGUGUGGGGCCCUGCAAGAGAACGGACAGCACAGGCAAAUGCCGCACUGAUUCGCGCUGCAUGCGUAAGCCAUCUCGUGGCCACAAAAUUACUAUCAGUUCCUGGUCCUAUGCUCGCUAGGCUGAUACAAAGGCUUUGAGUGUAGUCUUUUUUCCCUUAAUUUUGGUACCAAACAAACAGGUAGAAAUAUAAUCAUUUUCAAUGCUUACCAACGUGUCAACUACAAGAUGUGCCAAGAACAAGACAAUUCACAUUUACUUACAAUGCUGACCCGUCAACGAUACUCGUGACUACCUUGGUUGUUCUCUCUCUCUCUCUCUCUCUCUCUCUCUCUCUCUCUCUCUCUCUCUCUCUCUCUCUCUCUCUCUCUC